rnacentral:misc_RNA from 1 species
GAUGAAGAACGCAGCGAAAUGCGAUAAGUAAUGUGAAUUGCAGAAUUCAGUGAAUCAUCGUAUCUUUGAACGCACAUUGCGCCCCUUGGUAUUCCGAGGGGCAUGCCUGUUCGAGCGUCAUUAUAACCCCUCAAGCUCAGCUUGGUGUUGGGGCCUGCUGCACUGGCAGCCCUUAAAAUCAGUGGCGGCGCCAUCUGGCUCUAAGCGUAGUAAUUCUUCUCGCUAUGGAGUCCUGGUGGAUGCUUGCCAUCAACCCCCAAUUUUUCUAUGGUUGACCUCGGAUCAGGUAGGGAUACCCGCUGAACUUAAGCAUAUCAAUAAGCGGAGGA